rnacentral:rRNA from 1 species
AGUUUGAUCCUGGCUUAGGACGAACGCUGGCGGCAUGCCUAACACAUGCAAGUCGAACGGAGUUUAAGGAGCUUGCUCUUAAACUUAGUGGCGGACGGGUGAGUAACGCGUGAGCAACUUUGCCUCUCGGUGGGGAAUAAUGUACUGAAAAAGGACACUAAUACCGCAUAAUGUAUCAGGACCGCAUGAUUCUGAUACCAAAGAUUUAUCGCCGAGAGAUGGGCUCGCGUCCGAUUAGCCAGUUGGUGGGGUAACGGCCUACCAAAGCGACGAUCGGUAGCCGGACUGAGAGGUUGAACGGCCACAUUGGGACUGAGACACGGCCCAGACUCCUACGGGAGGCAGCAGUGGGGGAUAUUGCGCAAUGGGGGAAACCCUGAACCGCAGCAAUGCCGCGUGGAGGAUGAAGGUCUUCGGAUUGUAAACUCCUUUUGUCAGGGACGAAAAUGACGGUACCUGACGAAUAAGCUCCGGCUAACUACGUGCCAGCCGCUGC